rnacentral:misc_RNA from 1 species
GCUGCCCUCAAGCCCGGCUUGUGUGUUGGGUCGCCGUCCCCCUCUCCGGGGGGACGGGCCCGAAAGGCAGCGGCGGCACCGCGUCCGAUCCUCGAGCGUAUGGGGCUUUGUCACAUGCUCUGUAGGA